rnacentral:rRNA from 1 species
UACGUAGGGCGCGAGCGUUGUCCGGAUUUAUUGGGCGUAAAGAGCUCGUAGGCGGCUUGUCGCGUCGACUGUGAAAACCCGCGGCUCAACUGUGGGCUUGCAGUCGAUACGGGCAGGCUGGAGUUCGGUAGGGGAGACUGGAAUUCCUGGUGUAGCGGUGAAAUGCGCAGAUAUCAGGAGGAACACCGACGGCGAAGGCAGGUCUCUGGGCCACUACUGACGCUGAGAAGCGAAAGCAUGGGGAGCGAACAGG